GUUUUAAUAAUUUAAGAAAAAUACUGGUCUUGUAAACCAGAAAUAAGAUUAAUUCUUUUAAAACA
rnacentral:tRNA from 1 species